UGGGGAAUAUUGCACAAUGGGCGAAAGCCUGAUGCAGCAACGCCGUGUGAGUGAUGAAGGCCUUCGGGUUGUAAAGCUCUGUCUUCUGGGACGAUAAUGACGGUACCAGAGGAGGAAGCCACGGCUAACUACGUGCCAGCAGCCGCGGUAAUACGUAGGUGGCAAGCGUUGUCCGGAUUUACUGGGCGUAAAGGAUGCGUAGGCGGAUACUUAAGUCAGAUGUGAAAAUCCCGGGCUUAACUUGGGAACUGCAUUUGAAACUGGGUAUCUAGAGUGCGGGAGAGGAAAGUGGAAUUCCUAGUGUAGCGGUGAAAUGCGUAGAGAUUAGGAAGAACACCAGUGGCGAAGGCGACUUUCUGGACCGUAACUGACGCUGAGGCAUGAAAGCGUGGGGAGCAAACA
rnacentral:rRNA from 1 species